GCUCCUGUAGCUCAGUUGGUCAGAGCGCAAGUCUUAUGAGCUUGCGGUCGCGGGAUCGAGACCCGCCGGGAGUA
rnacentral:tRNA from 1 species